AGAGCGAACGCUGGCGGCAGGCCUAACACAUGCAAGUCGAGCGCGUGUAGCAAUACACGAGCGGCAGACGGGAGAGUAACACGUGGGAACGCGCCCUUCGGUUCGGAAUAACUCAGGGAAACUUGAGCUAAUACCGGAUACGCCCUUACGGGGAAAGAUUUAUUGCCGAAGGAACGGCCCGCGUCCGAUUAGCUAGUUGGUGAGGUAACGGCUCACCAAGGCGACGAUCGGUAGCUGGUCUGAGAGGAUGACCAGCCUCACUGGGACUGAGACACGGCCCAGACUCCUACGGGAGGCAGCAGUGGGGAAUAUUGGACAAUGGGCGCAAGCCUGAUCCAGCCAUGCCGCGUGGAUGAUGAAGGCCUUAGGGUUGUAAACCUCUUUCGACCGGGACGAAGCGUGAGUGACGGUACCGGUAGAAGAAGCACCGGCUAACUACGCGCCAGCAGCCGC
rnacentral:rRNA from 1 species